CUUUAAGACAUUGCAUUUGGGGGUUCCCGUUAUCUCUAAAGAGAAGCCCUAACCUUAUCGCCCAUAAAUGAUAAGACCUAGAGAGAAACUGAAGAUGUAGUCAUGUAAGGUGUGACCUUCAAGGAUCAGAGUUUGCAGGUUUGUGUUUACUUACUAACCUCUAGCCCAUUAAGAAGAAGGAGGAGGUGAAGAAAGAAAGAAAGAAAAAAAGAAAGAAAGAAGGGAGGAAGGAACAAAGAAAGAAACAAAGAAAGAAAGAAAUUGUUUAAAGAAUGCUGCCUGCAAGCAUUUACAAGAGUCUCUCAUGUUUUGGAAGGCUGAGACCACUUUUAAGAAACUAUACCUGCAUGUGUCUAAAGGUUUCUAAUUAAAAAAGCCUAGCACACUGAAAGAGGUCUUAUGCAAAAUAUCCUAAAGCCUCUCAGUGCUUUCAAAGAAGCUGAAAAAUAUGAAGAGACUGAUCUGCUGAAAGUGUAUGGAAUGCAGAGAGCUGAAGCUUGGAAGCUUGAAGAACAGCAAAUGAAGUGUUUACCCUGAACCAGUGCACACAUGCAAAAGCUGGAGGUCCUUAAGACAGUCUCUGCACAACAACAGAAAGACAGAAGCAAUGGAAUACAGAAACAAGGAUUAGACCCACAUGGCACUUCCCAGCAGCAGGAAUAGGAUAAAUGGCACCCCAUGCCCUGACUGUGGAGUCAGAGACAAAACAACAUCAUCUCCCACCAGCCGGGGAAACCCAGAGAUGGGUGUGGAUGCGAAUGGGGAACAGAAAACAAGCUCUCCAGAAGACAACAUAUCUCUGAGGCACACAAAGACUUCUUAGGUACAACACAAGAGCACAAGCUAAAUAAGACAAACUGUGCUAUACUUACAAUGUAUAUGUCUUUUCAUUUGAAAACUCAGGGGAAAUAAAGUAGAAUUCUCUGGCUAGGUACCCUGGUUCCAUACAAAAUGCAAGAGCCACCAAACUCAGAAGAGAGCACUUGCUGAAGGCUCACAAUGUAGGACUGAGGUAUGCGGAACACAGCGGGAUGGAUUUUAUUUCAUUGACUGUUAUUUUCUUUUUCCUUCCCUUCAUGGCUAUUUUUGGUCUCUUUAGCAAGGUCCUGUUCUAGGAUCAUUUUAUCACUACUAGUGUUCCCCCUGAGGCUUCAUUUGGAUGGAUGUUUCUCUAUGUUGCUGUUUCUUUUGCUGGCUAAGAACAUAUAAAGUCAGGCAUCAUUUUAAGAAGGCAAGCACAACAGUGGCCGAUGGGCAUUGUAUGUCAUAGACUAGCCAUGAAUGAUGCUGAAUACAUUUGUAUAUGACAGUGUCAUGUCCUGAUGUCAAAAACACCUCUGGAACAGUGGUGAUACCAACAUGAACCUCUAUUUCUCUUCUCUAGUCCAUUUCCAUAUACACAAACACCUAUAAGCUGCUUCCAACUGGAACCCCCAAAAGGACCUUUAAUUUGAAGUGUCUGAAUGAACUCAUGAGAGUCUAGCAGAACCAGCCUCUGUUUUGUCUGUUAGUUGACCAUUGCUACUAUCAGUUCAGCAGAUUCAAUCAGAGACAUGGAUGUCUGUUCCUCCAUUCCCACUCUGCAUCUGAAGACCACCUAAUUCUUGGGAGUCUGGUUUGUAGUGAUGCUCUGCACUUGUUUUUCUUUUGUCCUCAUGGUCAGAGCAUCUCUUUCAGUGGCCCCUUCACCUUUCCCAGCUGUGCUACUAUAUCACCAACAUCAAAAAGUUCAUCAUAGUCAAAGUAGCUGAUCCUGCCAUUGUCUCAAUUGUGGCUGAUGUGGAAAACAGUUGUGGCUAGGAUAAGUAAGAAUGAAGGGAAGGAGAAAAAAGAGAAGGAGUGAGGAAGACUCAAAGAAGAUGAUUAAAUAUUUAGAAGGAGUAAUAUUCUCUUCUCUGAGAAUGAUUGUAGUGAAUUUUCCAUAAUUCUCAGUAAUAUUUUAUCCAAAGGCAUGAAGUAAGGAUGUCAGCUACAAGUUAAACUCUUUAAGUAUUAAAACUAUAAAAUAGAACAUAUUUGUGAACCAUAUAUUAUGCUGGGGAAAAUCAUUUUGCCACUUGGUGAAAAAGUAAGUAGCCCUCCUAAGAUGUGAGGACCUGAGGGCUAGAUCAGGUGAGGAAUCUCUGAUUUGCCACCCAAAGCAAGUCAGAACGUCUUAAUCCAGCUUAUGCCCCAACGAGAGAGCAAGGAGACAGAAUAAAUGGGGCCAGGGCACUCCACAGGGUGGACAUGAAAACAUUUUCCGUGUAAUUAAUUCCAGAAUCCACACCGUGUUUACAAAACACUGCUCAGUAAAAGGAGUGGCCAGUGGGAAGAUUAUGGGAAGGUGCUGCAAGAAAUGAUAGAAAGAAGAGAGUUAAUGAUCACUGGUCACUAACUCUAUUGUAGGUGUGGUUCACGGUGGCUUACACUCUGCUCCCUGCCACCCUCGUUCUGUAUCCCAGUUCUUAUGGUGUCAUUAAGAUACAUUUGACAUCUUAAGAACUAUAUUCUCCUGAAAUGCAUAAUAAGAAGAGGACGAACACAAGUGAUCUCUACACAUAUAUGUGCUUUCCUUUCAUCACUAAGCUUUCUUAUCUGUAAUCUCCUCUCCAGACCAACUACAGGUUCACCAAGUACCCAAUCUAUUGAAAGGAUUUCUGUAAAAUACUAUCAAAUUCCACAACUCAUAAAUACAGAGUAUGGCUUCCGUGUGCCCUCUCUUACAGUACCAUUGUUAAACCCAAUUCUAUCCCAAAUGAAAUUGAUUUCUUUUUUUUUUCUUCUUGAUUUCAAAUCUGAUUAAGCCAUCUUUCAAAAUAUCUAAUUUUGUCUUCCAGGAUGCUUCUCCUCCAGCAUCAUUCAGUGGUAUGAACUCCGAGUUCCACCUAUGAGCACAGGGAUACCAAUAGUUUUGUUUGAUUUGCCCUGAAAUAAAUUGCUAUUAUAUUCUUACAGCCAUUGCGGGUCAAAAAACUGACUGCAGUACAGAAUCGAGUGACCUCUCCACACUCCACUGACCAGGGUUAUUGGCCCCAGGCUUCCUGCUUUUCAUAUCACCACAAGUGAGAGUGCUCUAGAGAGGGACACGAAGCAGAAAGCAAAGGUCAACAGGUUCACAUAUA